ensembl:lncRNA
GCAUCUCUGCGUUCUAUGAGUCAGAGGGGUUGGAUGAGUCGCCCUGCAGAAAAGAACCAACUGUGUCAUGUUACAACAGCCAGGAGGCACUGCUGAGGUCAAGAAAAGGUGAAGAAAAUGCUAAAAGAUGGAAAUCUCUUGCUACUUAGAUUCUGUUGAACACCAGAAGAGGCGAAAGAGUUGGUUGGACUGGGGGCGUGGGGGUUCUACAGUGUGAACCCUUGACGAUAAGGAGAGAACUAUUAAACAAGCUCAGUUGGUUUGAAGUGUAUAUUAUAGCCUGGAGGGUGAUCUCGGACAGAUUGCACCACUAAUCCAGUGCCUAAUCAAAGAAAAGACGGCGCUACAGAACGCCAUAUGGUGCAGCGUGGUGACAGCCCCUGAAACACAUGAAAUGAACGUUACGUCUGACUGUUGAUACACUCAUACGUUCAUCUUUGAAUUAACUCCUACCUCUGUUUAGUCUAAACGUCUGCAGGAUCCCACUGAUUCUGACAUGGUCCUUAGAGCCACACUGCAUGAUGGGUACUGAGUGGCAACGGCCUAAAUUAGUAGCAGUUCAACCAUGUGGAUGUCUAGCUGUGACAAAGGCACAACAAACAUAAGAUUCUGGUCUUGUUUCUGAAUUCUACUGUAUUAAAGACCUCUUUUAGAC